GAUGAACGCUAGCGGCAGGCUUAAUACAUGCAAGUCGAGGGGCAGCAGGUCUGUAGCAAUACAGAUGCUGGCGACCGGCAAACGGGUGCGGAACACGUACGCAACUUACCGUUAAGAGGGGGAUAGCCCGGGGAAACCCGGAUUAAUACCCCAUAAGAUAAUUGGGUGGCCUCAUCUGAUUAUUAAAGUCCUGAAUAAAGGCGCUUAAUGAUGGGCGUGCGGCUGAUUAGGAGUUGGCAGGGUAACGGCCUACCAAGCCUUCGAUCAGUAACUGGUGUGAGAGCACGACCAGUCACACGGGCACUGAGACACGGGCCCGACUCCUACGGGAGGCAGCAGUAAGGAAUAUUGGUCAAUGGACGCAAGUCUGAACCAGCCAUGCCGCGUGAAGGAUG
rnacentral:rRNA from 1 species